CUGGCUCAGGAUGAACGCUGGCGGCGUGCCUAAUACAUGCAAGUCGGACGGAUGAUCUAUCAUCAGUGGCGAACGGGUGAGUAACACAUAGGUAACCUGCCUCCAGGCGGGGGGACAACAGCUGGAAACGGCUGCUAAUACCGCAUAGGGACACUGACCGCAUGAUCGGUGUCUUAAAGAUCCUUUUGGAUCACCUGGAGAUGGACCUAUGGCGCAUUAGCUUGUUGGCGGGGCAGCGGCCCACCAAGGCGACGAUGCGUAGCCGGCCUGAGAGGGCGGACGGCCACACUGGGACUGAGACACGGCCCAGACUCCUACGGGAGGCAGCAGUAGGGAAUUUUCGGCAAUGGGGGGAACCCUGACCCAGCCAUGCCGCGUGAGGGAAGUAGGCCCUACGGGUCGUGAACCUCUUUUGUCGGGGGACAAGGACGCCCACGAGAUGGGUGUUUGCGGGUACUCGGCGAAUAAGCAUCGGCUAACUCCGUGCCAGCAGCUGC
rnacentral:rRNA from 1 species